rnacentral:sRNA from 1 species
GAAUCUUUGACUGGAAUCUAAUUCUUAAUUUUGUACAGUUGCAUCUACAUGUAUGACCAUAUUGCAAUCCCAAAGAUCUACAAAUAUUUAUUUGCAUUACUAUCAGUUUGCACAAAUAAUGUGUAACAUAUUGAUACCAAUUUUUUGAUAAUUCUAAAUUUGGGGGUUAAAGAAAAUUAUAUGAAAGGGAAGUAAUAGUGUUAGUGAAAAAUAACAUUAAUUUACUCCAAUGUUUGAAAAUAAAUGCAGGUUCACAAUGAAUAAAUUAAAACACCUAAAAAAUAAAUCUGUAAAAUUUAUUCAUUCUUUUAGUUGGAAUUAAUUGAAAAAUAUUCAUCUUAGUACAGUGUAUUGUGUAUAUUAAUUAAGUAAUAAAUUCAAUAUUAUUAAAAGAUUAAUAUAUUUUUUCUACAUUUCAUUGUUAUUAUGAUUAUACACUGUUAUUGUUAACAUAAUUUCAUGUUUUUGUUCAUUUACAUUUUUUCUCAGUAAGAUUUAAGAAAAAAAACUUACUUAAAAAUCCCUUUAAAAAUGUAUUACCGUACAUUUAUACAGUGAAGACAUCAGUACAUGUGUUGUACAUUCAUGAAAUAUAUUUGAAUAACACUAAUUAAUGCAAAUUCUAUGCCCAAAUAACCUAUAAAAUAAAAAUGUGUAACAUAUUAUUUGCAAGUAUCUUUUGGAUUUUGAAGAUGAAAAAAAAUGGUAAUUAAAAAAUAAAAUGUAUUCUGUAAUUUUUGUAAAUGACACUGUCUUAACCGAGGGCUGUAUUUAUAUAGUGCCCUACCAGUGAGAGAGUGAGCAUAUACUGAAUGUAUUUUGUCACAGUGGUAACAUAAGAAAAGCAAUAAAUGUUCUCAAUUCAAAAUGUUUUAUCCAUGUGCAAAGGUUGCCAAAAUUUUGAGAGAGAGAGAGAGAGGCAAGAAAAAACUACCAAUGGAAGUACAUUUGUGAAUUGUCAUGGGGAAAACAUUGUAAAUUUUGUACAACAGAAAUAAGGAUGUUUUGCAAACUUAUUUAUCAAAGUUUUAUGCCAAGUGCAUUUCUUCUACUUUAUUUUAAAUGGUUAAUUUUUUUCUGACAGUUUCUGGUGCUUGGUUUUGCUGAGGAGCCUUUCCUAUUGCGAUGUAUAAUGUAUGUUCUGCAUGAAGCAAUUUGUCAUAAAACAUUUAAAGGG